rnacentral:rRNA from 1 species
CCUACGGGAGGCAGCAGUGGGGAAUAUUGGACAAUGGGCGAAAGCCUGAUCCAGCCAUGCCGCGUGUGUGAAGAAGGCCUUCGGGUUGUAAAGCACUUUCAGUGGGGAAGAAAGCCUUGGGGCUAAUACCCUCGAGGAAGGACAUCACCCACAGAAGAAGCACCGGCUAACUCCGUGCCAGCAGCCGCGGUAAUACGGAGGGUGUGAGCGUUAAUCGGAAUUACUGGGCGUAAAGCGCGCGUAGGCGGUCUGAUAAGCCGGUUGUGAAAGCCCCGGGCUCAACCUGGGAACGGCAUCCGGAACUGUCAGGCUAGAGUGCAGGAGAGGAAGGUAGAAUUCCCGGUGUAGCGGUGAAAUGCGUAGAGAUCGGGAGGAAUACCAGUGGCGAAGGCGGCCUUCUGGACUGACACUGACGCUGAGGUGCGAAAGCGUGGGUAGCAAACAGGAUUAGAUACCCUAGUAGUC